AUCCUUCACUUACCGAACUUUGUUGGAUCUAUAACAAGCUUUCUUUUUCCCUGAUUUCUUCCAAGUAAUGUUCAUGACUUAAUUUAUACAUGAACCCUGAAGACGCCUUAGAAGUAUGAAUCAGAUUUUUCGGAGUUUUUCUGUAAACAGUCAAUUAUGUAAUGAUUAUUGAUUCCUUAAGCACCCAAAGUAAACCUACAGCAACAUAUACCGAAAAUUAAGCAGGUGGAUGUUUUGAACAAGCACCUCUACUGGUUGUGGCAAUGCCAGCGUCAUUCAGCUCAGCAGCUAUAAUAGGCCAUAGUUUCUGCUUGUGUGCCUCAGUAGUUUCUGCUUGUGUGCCUCAGAUGCGCAAUCCAUGUCAUGAAAGAGUUCAAAAUGGUAUCACAGAUUAAAGUUAUUCUAUGGGACAAAUUCCGAGCCUGACGAAUUUAUGAUGCAAGUAUUUUAGUCCACUGAAUCAAUAGAAACCCAAUGACACCAGAUAUUUCUUAUUAUUUCAGAACAUUGUUGCUAACUUAGUAUUCAUGCUGAGCAAGGGGUUACUAUGUACUGCUCUCAGUUGGGGUUGAAAAGAUCCAUUAAGGUUGGAAAGACCCAAUCUACUUGGUUGAAUUGACUCGUAAGGAUCAAUCCUAUUUGAUUCAUGAGUCCAAGUAUAUUUAAUCAGUCAAUCUUACCCCCUUUCCAAUGUCGUACUAAAUCUCAGCUUGUGCCUUUUUCUAAACCAAAUCCAUACUUAACCUAAUGGAUUGGGUCUCUACACUAAUGGAUGCUUGUGCUUUCAAGACUUAAAAAGUAGCCAGUUAAUACUGGCUUAGCUCUUGUUUCUGUCAUAAGUCUGGAUAGGCGCAGCUACACGAUGCAAAGUUUGAAGUUUGAUUAAUUGGUUUUAUCCCACCAGGAGUUUCCUUUGUAUUCUUGAAUUUUGCCUGAACAGAACAGUAGCAGCAAUACCCGCGUCUGUAGUCCUGGGUUAAUGUUGUUUUGGUCAAGCCAGCUCGCUUCUGGGCGUGCAGACAAAAUAUGUAGGCUUAAGCAAGAAAUUUCAUAGGUAUUAGCAUCCAACAUCUAAUCCUUAAUGUAUCAGUUCGUUGCCUGACAUCGAACCUUUCUGGUGGUAGUUAUUGCAGGACACUGCUCCUAAAUAUGCAGGAUUUAUUCCAGGUAUAUUUGAUAAACGUUGCGCACCAUCGUCCAUGUGACCAUUGGAGAUCAUCUUUCUUCUCUCUUUUUGCUGCGAAGUUGGAUAUGGUUGCCCCCGCGUAAAAAAAAAAAGAUGCAGUUUAAAGAGAGACUAUUUUCUUCAACUGUCGGGCACGAAGAUCAGACUAUUAAUGCACAGUUCUCUUCUCCAAGGUGGAAAAAUAUCGAGCAGGGUCCCUCAGCUUUGAGAUCAUGAUUGAUAGAAUCGGAUGAUGGCUUGCACAAGGGGCAUUUAGCAGAGGGGCCACUUCGGCUCGAUUAAUGGCGCACAGGAA